rnacentral:tRNA from 1 species
GCAUUGGUGUUCUAGUGGUAUGAUGUCACCCUGCCACGGUGGCGACCCGGGUUCGAUUCCCGGCCAAUGCA